rnacentral:rRNA from 1 species
UACGAAGGGGGCUAGCGUUGUUCGGAAUUACUGGGCGUAAAGCGUAUGCAGGCGGAUCGUUAAGUCGGGGGUGAAAUCCCGAGGCUCAACCUCGGAACUGCCUUCGAUACUGGCGAUCUUGAGUCCGGGAGAGGUGAGUGGAACUCCGAGUGUAGAGGUGAAAUUCGUAGAUAUUCGGAAGAACCCCAGUGGCGAAGGCGGCUCACUGGCCCGGUACUGACGCUGAGAUACGAAAGCGUGGGGAGCAAACAGG